CACAGGCGGAGGGCCCGGCGCUGCCCGGCCGGGGCAUGGAGCAAACCUGAGGGCCGCCCUGGGCAGGGGGUGCUGGGAAGGUGGAAUCCGCGGGGUUCUGCCGAGAGGAACGGCUCGUGUGUUAUGCCAUCAGAUCCAACACACCUAAGUAGAAGUGACCUGGAUGAAUAGCAUCAGAUGUGGACUGGGAAUCUGCCUCCCCAGCCAACCUGCUCUUGACUGCUUGUACUGCUGGAGCAUCUUCAAAGCCCAGCCAAGACUGGAACUGUGGACUGUGCAGGUAAUUAAUGGUCUUCAAUCCAGUCUUCAGGCUGCUGAGCUCCUCCUUUUGUACAGUCCUUUUUCAGAAGCACAUCUCUGAUUUAUGCAGCUUGACAAAAUCCUAAACCUGCAGUCUCCUUGUCCUCCUGUUAAAUGGCUUGCAUGCGUCUCCAUCCUCACCAUGCCUUCUCAGAGAGCACUGGUGUUGUGCAUCUCUCCAUCCCUCCGAGGUGCAUUUGGCCUUCCUUCUCUGCGAUUCCUCCCCUUCCCUUUUUCCUGACACAGACUCAAGUUUUAAAAAUCCAUUUUCCUUCUCUGAGCCACCAUUAUGCACAAAUACUUCUCUGCUCUUCUUCACAUGCCACCAAUUUCCUCCAGAACCUAUCACUCUCAUCUAGCUGCUUAACUGUGUAAUGAUAUGAAAUAUUCACUCUAAUGAGCCCCUGCUGUGGAUACCACUUGAUCCUGCCUUGUUUUUGUUCUUUUUGACUCCAACCUCACUGAAUGUUCGACUUUCCUUCUCCCAAAUUUCAAACUGCUUCCUGAAGCUACACCAUACGUGCAUAUGUACAGUUCAUACAACAUACGUCUUUUCUGCUGAUGUUUUCAGAAGGAACAAGGGCUAUCUUGAUGGGAAUUUUCAGCAAAUACCACGUGAUCAGUCUCGGACAGCUGCCAUGGAAACUUCAUCCUGAAGUUUUGCAAAGUAGAUGAAAAUAAAAUUUUGUAAUGAAAAAUGUCAGGGAACCUAAAUAGCAGACUGUUCCUUGGUGGUUAGUCCUUUGGCAAUUGGAAAGCACAGAGCUGCCAGCCCUUCAGCCUCAUGCACAGAAAUCAGCAUAUGUGGGACGAACAACCUGAUUAAAUGAAUACGAUUUAAGUUUUCAAGUAAAAGGGAAUCCAGAAGAACUACCCUAGUUGUGGCUUUAAAUACUGAACUUCUAAAUACUACCUCUGUUUUCUAUACCUUUGUGAUGCACCUACACAAACUAAUGGAAGGAUGAAAUGAUAGCACAGGGGCCUGGAGAUUGCUGCAUUCACGC
rnacentral:lncRNA from 1 species